UAACGCGUGGGAAUCUGCCUAUUAGUGGGGAAUAACGACGGGAAACUGUCGCUAAUACCGCAUACGCCCUUAGGGGGAAAGAUUUAUCGCUGAUAGAUGAGCCCGCGUACGAUUAGCUAGUUGGUGAGGUAAUGGCUCACCAAGGCUACGAUCGUUAGCUGGUCUGAGAGGAUGAUCAGCCACACUGGGACUGAGACACGGCCCAGACUCCUACGGGAGGCAGCAGUGGGGAAUAUUGGACAAUGGGCGAAAGCCCGAUCCAGCAAUGCCGCGUGAGUGAUGAAGGCCUUAGGGUUGU
rnacentral:rRNA from 1 species